UACGUAGGGUGCAGGCGUUAAUCGGAAUUACUGGGCGUAAAGCGUGCGCGGGCGGUUUCCUAAGUCAGAUGUGAAAGCCCCGGGCUUAACCUGGGAACUGCGUUUGAAACUGGGAGACUAGAGUGCGGCAGAGGGGGGUGGAAUUCCACGUGUAGCAGUGAAAUGCGUAGAUAUGUGGAGGAACACCGAUGGCGAAGGCAACCCCCUGGGUUAACACUGACGCUCAUGCACGAAAGCGUGGGGAGCAAACAGG
rnacentral:rRNA from 1 species